rnacentral:RNase_P_RNA from 1 species
CUGCGCGGCCGGGCAAUCGCCGGGUGCGUUCCUCGUGAGCGUGCCGGGAGGAAAGUCCGGUCUUCUCAGGGCAGCAUGCCGGCUAACGGCCGGGGGUGUGCGCUCAAAGCGCACGUCACGGAAAGUGCCACAGAAAAUAUACCGCCCCGCCGGUUUUGGCGAGGUUCUUGUCGCAUGACGAAGGACAUACCGAAACCGGCGGGGUAAGGGUGAAAAGGUGCGGCAAGAGCGCACCGCAGUUCGAGUAAUCGGACCGGCAGGGCAAACCCCAUGUGAAGCAAGACCAAAUAGGGGAGGAGGAGUGGCCCGCUCCGUUACAACUUCCGGGUAGGUCGCUGGAGCCUUUCAGUAAUGGAAGGCCUAGAGGAAUGGUUGCCGCCUGCUUUUCGUGAGUCUUCGCCCAGCUCAAAGGCGCCCGCUGAUGCGAAGCAGGUACAGAAACCGGCUUACAGGUCGCGCAGGCAC